rnacentral:rRNA from 1 species
GAUGAACGCUGGCGGCGUGCUUAACACAUGCAAGUCGAACGAAGCAUUUUUAAUUCUUCGGAAGAGAAAGUGACUGAGUGGCGGACGGGUGAGUAACGCGUGGGUAACCUGCCUUAUACAGGGGGAUAACAGUUAGAAAUGACUGCUAAUACCGCAUAAGCCGAUAGAGUCGCAUGACUUAGUCGGAAAAGACUUAUCGGUAUAAGAUGGACCCGCGUCUGAUUAGCUAGUUGGUGAGGUAAUGGCCCACCAAGGCGACGAUCAGUAGCCGGCUUGAGAGAGGGAACGGCCACAUUGGGACUGAGACACGGCCCAAACUCCUACGGGAGGCAGCAGUGGGGAAUAUUGCACAAUGGGGGAAACCCUGAUGCAGCAACGCCGCGUGAAGGAAGAAGUAUUUCGGUAUGUAAACUUCUAUCAGCAGGGAAGAAAAUGACGGUACCUGACUAAGAAGCCCCGGCUAACUACGUGCCAGCCGCCGCAGUAA